GCAGCCUUCCAGGCUCCUCCGUCCAUGGGAUUUUCGAGGCAAGAGUACUGGAGUGGGGUGCCAUUGCCUUCUCUGAAAUACUGGGCAGUUUUGCUGAAAAUUCUCUGGGAGAGGAGUAAGGAUACCUGCUGCUUGGAGGACAGCAAUCACUGUGGUCCAGGUGAUGGUAUAGUUAUCCCUGGACAGUAUCAUCGUAUUUAUUACACAGUAAACUAUGGUCCGAGGGCAGAGAGAGUCUUCAGAACACAAUGCAGACCUGCGAGCUGAGACGGGGAAUGGAGUCGGAAUGUCCCAGACCACUGCACCAGGUCAUGCACUACGGCAGCAUCUCGGGCAGCCCAGUGAGGAGCUCUGGACCAGAAUGCCCAUUAGCUCUCUUAAAUAAGCUCUGGCCUGACCCGUGGAGGAGACGCUGGACUCGCCAAUUCCCUUCAUCAGAAGAAACAUUUCCCCCACAGCACAGGCUCCAGGCCUUGGUUAUUAAAUCAGCAAAACCCAAACGCUCCCAAGAUAAACUCCUGAUGUUGCGAUAAUAGCAGUCACCCUGGAGAAUCCCACCUGGUGCUUGUCACCCGUGCAAAUGCCAUCAGCAGCAAGCAUCCUGGCCACAACAGCCCAACAGGUAAUUUGCUGGUUUAUGGCUCAGAUGCUAAAACGCGAAUGUAAACAGGCUCCAGUGGCCAAUGCAAAAGCAUCGGUAGUGCAAAAUGCUUUUCCUCACCUUCUCCAGGAAAAGUCCCAGAAACACUGAGCAUCGCUGGUCAGAGAGCCUUCCUCUCUCCUGCAGCCAUUGUUGGGGCCACUGUAAAGGAAUAUGGAGACUAACAGGUUGCAGGGGACAGUUUCUUUCCUAAAAUGAGCCAGAUCCUGCCCUCUCCCCAGCUCUGUUGGGCGGGUGUGCUAUGGUGCCUACUCCCCACCCCUCACCGUGCCCCCUCUCAAGAGCAGCUGUCUGUCUGUUUCUCUCUUCUCCUCUUCCAGUCUCUGCCUGUCUUAUUCUCUCUCAUCUGUUUUUUUCUCUGUCACACUUUCUCCCCUCCUCUUUUUCUCUCUCUUCAUUUCCCCGAGGUGGGUCCUUUGUAACUUUCCACUUCAAUAUUCUCACAUCAGAAAGUCCUCCCUAACCCUGGGCCAGUCUUGGGGGUUACUUCCCUAACUUUAGGCCAAUCCUGGGGCCUUCCCCUCCUGCCCUCACAGGGGCUGUCAUCCUGAAGUUCCCAACCUGGUCCCAGUGAAAGGCCAGGCUCCUCCAGCAGGCAGAUUGAGAGCCUUCCAGAGCCACCGCCAGGCCACAGGGCAGCUCUGGGUAAACGUGAGCUAAAGGAGACAGAGGCGGCUCCCAUGUCAGGGCACAUAUCCUGAGGACUUCAUAGUCCCCGGGCUCCCCGCUUGGCCAGACACCCUGCACGCGCAUGUGGAAGUUGGGGCUGCCAGGACCGAUUUCUCUGUGAGACGCAGCCCUGGGGAGGGAAGACAGAAGGACUGCUGUGGACUAAGUGGGUUCUUCCCACUGCUGCAGAGGCAAAGCCCAGAGUGACCCUCAACAAAGAAAGGCUCAUGGCCAUGGAUUUCCCAGAGGAGCUUGCUUAACAUGCAGAUUCCUGGUCCAGCGAAGCUGCUGAAGCGGGUUUGACCUGGGCCCUGAACAGAGCUCCCCAGGUGAUGCUGACCCAGCCCACACUCUGAGAGCCCUCGGUUCCCCAGAGCAGCGACCUGGAACCUGUGCGGAUUUGUAUCCCAAGGAUGAACACAUUUUACUUCUCACCCUCAAAAUAAGGGUAUUAACGUGUAAGUUUUAUACAUGUAAUCCUGAAAUCCAGGAUAUUAAAUAAUAGGAAAACAUUUUUUAAGGAUAAAAAUAAACACAGAUAGAAAUUGUAAUUCUUCCCUCCUGCUCCCUCAAUUCUGUGUUCUAAUCCUCCAUGCUCCCCACUUUGGAGGUCAUGGCCAGAGGGACUGGGAAAGGAAAUUUAGCCACUGAGAAGAAGCUAGAAACUCAGCCUCUGUGCUCUGGUGCCAAAUUGAAUCUCAGAGGCAGAAUUUGGGGUGAAAUAGAAAAGAACAGCUUUAUUGCUUUGCCACGCGAAGAGGAACACAGCAGACUAGAACCCUGAAAAACUGUGUGUCCCACCCCAGGGGGAUUUGGUGAGGAGUUUUAUAGCGAUGGUUCAAGGAUGGAGUUGCUGAUAAGGACUGAGGUGUGUGCAGGGCCUGUGUGCGUGUGCUGUGCUAAGUCACUUUAGUCGUGUCCGACUCUGUGCGACUCCAUGGACUAUAGCCUGCCAGGCUCCUCUGUCUGUGGGAUUCUCCAGGCAAGAAUACCGGAGUGGGUUGCCGUUCCCUUCUCUGGGGGAUCUUCCCAACUCAGGGACCGAACCCGCAUCUCUUAUGGGUUCCUUUACCACUAGCGCCACCUGGAGCAGAGCCUGCACGCCUUUAAUCUGGUCUCAGGUGGUCUCCUGAUGAAUGUCUCUGGGUUAUCAAACUGUGGUCUUCUC
ensembl:lncRNA